GUGUCAGCAGCCGCGGUAAUACGGGGGGUGCAAGCGUUGUUCGGAAUUAUUGGGCGUAAAGAGCGUGUAGGCGGUUUGUUAAGUCUGAUGUGAAAGCCCUGGGCUCAACCCAGGAAGUGCAUUGGAAACUGGCAGACUUGAAUACGGGAGAGGGCAGUGGAAUUCCUAGUGUAGGAGUGAAAUCCGUAGAUAUUAGGAGGAACACCGGUGGCGAAGGCGGCUGCCUGGACCGAUAUUGACGCUGAGACGCGAAAGCGUGGGUAGCAAACAGGAUUAGAUACCCCCGUAGUCC
rnacentral:rRNA from 1 species